GUGAGGGUGAGAAUGAGAGGAAGAGUGAGAGGUAGGGGUAGAGCUGGUAGAGGAAGAGUGAGAGGUAGGGGUAGAGCUGGUAGAGGAAGAGUGAGAGGUAGGGGUAGAGCUGGUAGAGGAAGAGUGAGAGGUAGGGGUAGAGCUGGUAGAGGAAGAGUGAGAGGUAGGGGUAGAGCUGGUAGAGGAAGAGUGAGAGGUAGGGGUAGAGCUGGUAGAGGAAGAGUGAGAGGUAGGGGUAGAGCUGGUAGAGGAAGAGUGAGAGGUAGGGGUAGAGCUGGUAGAGGAAGAGUGAGAGGUAGGGGUAGAGCUGGUAGAGGAAGAGUGAGAGGUAGGGGUAGAGCUGGUAGAGGAAGAGUGAGAGGUAGGGGUAGAGCUGGUAGAGUAGUUCAUGGCCAAAGAAGAAAACAACUU